rnacentral:misc_RNA from 1 species
GAUGAAGAACGCAGCGAAAUGUGAUAAGUAAUGUGAAUUGCAGAAUCCAGUGAAUCAUCGAAUCUUUGAACGCACAUUGCGCCCCCUGGUAUUCCGGGGGGCAUGCCUGUUCGAGCGUCAUUUCAACCCUCAAGCUCUGCUUGGUAUUGAGUCCAUGUCAGCAAUGGCAGGCUCCAAAAUCAGUGGCGGCGCCGCUGGGUCCUGAACGUAGUAAUAUCUCUCGUUACAGGUGCUCGGCGUGCUUCUGCCAAAACCCCAAUUUUUCUAUGGUUGACCUCGGAUCAGGUAGGGAUACCCGCUGAACUUAAGCAUAUCAAUAAGCGGAGG